rnacentral:lncRNA from 1 species
UGGGGCUUUCAGCUAAAAUCGAUGUCAGCCUUCGAACAAGAAUGAAAGGUUAAAGAUACCAGCUAUUUGUAAAUAGAGCAAAAAAUUACGUUGAUUACAUCAGAAGUUCCUAAAGUUUUUCUGUAUGAUUAUGACAUCAAUCUUAUGUAUGGUAUAAAUAGGGUAUUGUUUGCGGGUAUCUAAAAAGCUUGAACUCCUGAUCGUGUAAUGACUGUCAUCUAGCCCCUUGGUUAUACUCGAAGUCAUGACCGUAUCACAGUCGCCAAUUGGGACCUUCACGUUGACUUCGACCCCUAAUCGUAUAAAGUCAUGUCACCCCCAAAACCUGAUUUCCCCAAGAUGGAUUUCUCAAGUGAUUGUCUUAUCCUGCCAUGACAUAUGAAAUGUAUGUGUAUUAAGGCACGUUAUCACAUUUUUUAUCGAAAACCAUGAACACUUUCAAAAAACUAUAAGCCCUAAAAAACUCAAAACACUAAAAAAUUAAUAACCCUAACCCUGGAGAGAGAAUGUGAGAGUGCAUCCAGCUGGGCGCGCUUUCAUAUUGUCUCUCCUAAAAUAGGUAUAUUUUCCUAAUUAAAAUUAAAAUCAAUCUAAAGGCCUAAAUAAAAUAAAAAUAAAAACAACCUACAGGCCUUAUUUAGCCUUUCAACUGUCUCUCCUAACCAUCAUUCUUUUUCCUUGGAUCUUCAAAAAAAUCAGUCUACCAUCAUUACUUUUUCUUUUAUUUUCAGGAAAAAAAAUUUGAGACUUAAGAAGAUCGAAGAGAAUAGAAGCAGGUUAUUCCAUAAACCUAAAAUUGAAACAAGAAAGAAUUCUGUUGAGUAUAAAUCCUUUACGAAAAAGGAUUGAGAGAGCUACAAACAUUCAAAGCUUUUUAGUUUUUACAUUUUUUUGGUUUAUCUUACUAGUUUUAGGAUUGCUUUUAUUUUAUUUUUAAUUUAUUUGUUUUAUUUUGGAUUGGGCACUUGGGUUUAGUAAUUUUAAGGGAUUUGGGCCUGGUCUAGGUUGGUUUUUUUCUCAGCUUAGGCUAGGAUAUAUGACCAAAAAAAUAAAAAAAAAUGGUCAUCCAGUCCACGGUUCAAUCAGUUUUCCCCUUUAGUUUAAACUAGUAAACCAACUAGUUCAGUUCAGUUUCAACAACCAUGCAUUACAGUAGAAAUGAAUGAAUUUUUUAACGGAAGGAUCGAAUAGCUUUUUGAUAUGACAUAUAUGGGCUAAUUUAACCAUAUUUUAAGUAAAUGGGACAAAAUGCAAUUUGAUUCUUAGUAUAGGGAUCUCCAUGAUAUUUUUACCAUUGAUUAAUUGUUCUCAAAGCAUCUGAGUGAUAUUACCUUUGUUUAUGAAAUAUUGUUUUUGUUUUGUGUAAUUGGCAAAUGAGGCUGCUCAUUUGUUAGCUAUGACGACCUUAUGUUUUGCAAACCCUUUUGUUUGGGACUAUGCUUUUCCUAGUAUUUCUCAUAUUCUUGCUUUAGAUGUUUUAUUGAAGAUUUCAAAUCAGAAUUCUAACACGUAGGACCAAGUGUAUAGAGAAAGCCUGUUGAUUUGAGGUGUAGUUUUCCGUUUUUGGUUUCAUUAUUUAGGCUGGAGUUCUUGAUUUUAUUAAUGAAGUAUUUGUUUGAAAAAUUGUGUAACUUAAUUUCUGAAAAUAUAAAAGUAAAACUAAGAUUUAAAUUUUAAAAAUAGAUUAGGAUUGUAAAAGUGGUAUAAAUUAUGUGGCAAUAUAUAUAUAAAGAUAAUCGGUUAUUAUUUGGUACAAAUACAAUAGAGGUUUUUUAAUAUUAUAAGUAGGAUUAAAAAGUUACCAUUUGCUUUAUUUUUUUAUUUUUAAAAUAUCAUUUAAGGAUAUGUGGUGACUUCUUAAUCCCUUUUGUAAAGUUAAAAAAAAUUCUAUUUAUCAAAUAAUAAUCUAAAAGUAAUGUUCAUCACUAUUUUUAAAUUUUAUUAUUUAUUAAAUGUCAACUUAAUGAUUAAUUUAAUUUUAAUUAUAUUUACAAUAAUUUUGACAAUUAAAUAUUUAUGUUUUUCCAAACAAAACGUAUUAGUGGGAUUGAAAAAGUAGUGGAUCUAAUUGAUGGCAAUCAAAGACAGUGGAAUGCUGAGUAGGUUAAGGCAUUUGUUACUGACUAGGAGGUGCGCCAAAUCUUGAGUAUCCCAUUAGCAUCUCACAAUUUGGUGGAUCGAUGGAAAUGGUACCCGAAGGAGUCUGGAGAGUAUAUCGUCUGUAGUGGCUAUAGGUUGCUACUAAGAGGGUUCCCGACGACAGAGGGAGAUAGAUAUAACAAUAUUGGACAGGAUACAAGAACUAUUUAUAGGAAACUAUGGGAAGCUAAUGUUCCUGAAAGAUGAAAAUUACAUUUUGGUGAUUCAUUAACAAUUAUAUUCCCACAAAGGCUAACCUGUUUCAGCGAAGAAUUGGGACGAACAGAAUGUGCCCACGUUGUGGUAAAGGCCCAGAAACAGAUCUUCGUGCGUGCAGAGAUUGCCCUGGUGUCCCAGAAAGUUGGCAAAAAUUAGGAGUUAGUUGGACACUAUCAAGGAAUCAGUAGAUAUACCAUUGCAUGGAUUGGACAGUUUUUUGGGAAAGAUGCGAAACAAGUACAUAUAUCCAUUAUCACAAUUUCGGUCAUAUGGAACUCUAAAACAAAAUCAUUCAUGAAGCAAUUUACCAAUCGAUUCAGACUUUACUUAUCUUUGUGUUGGGUUAUGAACGAGAGAUGGAUUCCUUGUUGGUGGAGCGCAAAUGUACUGAGGGUGAUGCAUUACUGGUUUGGAAGCCACCCAUUGCUCCUUGGGUUCGUGUAAAUUUCGAUGCUGAUUUCUAUGGUCACCUGCGGGCUCUGAGCACGGCUGCGGUUGUCAGGGAUUCAGAGGGGUUUCUGCUUGGCUCAGCUUUUUUUUGGCAAGACCAUGUACCUUGUGCAUUGGCUAUGAAGGCUCUGGCCCGUGUGCAUGCCACCCGAUUUGCCGAUGACCUGAGAUUUCAACAUGUAGAGCUGGAAGGGGACUCAGCAGUUGUCAUAUCCAAACUCAAGAACGCUGCUACAAAAAAUCAAGGUCGCUCACUUGUUGGCUCGAGAAGGUCUUCUCUGGAAGCAUGAUGUGUGCUGGAUGGAGGAAGGGCCAUCGUCGAUCCAGGAGGUGGUCGAUCGAGAAAGGAGGAGAGGGUCUUUCGACUGCUGAUAGUGCUAUGUUUGUCAAAGCUGUGAAAUAGUUCGAGAUAUUUUUUUUGCAAUGAUUGAAAUGGGCUCAUACCAAGGACGAUGGUCGACAGUAGAUUUUGACGGUAUUGGACCCUUACCGAAAAUACGGGUGAAGAACAGGAAGAUGAUAAGUUUUUGCUAGUUUUCUUUAGGUAAACUAUACCCAUUGUCAUUUUUGUUUACCUUAGGUUACGUUUUAGUCACUUAUGUUUGAAAUGUUAUAUUUUAGUAUUUACGUUAUCAUGUUGUAACAUUUUAGUCACUGAGCCAUUAAUCGUCGUUAAUGGUGUAACGGUAAGCUGACAUGGCACGUUAAAUCAUCAUUUCAAACAAAAUUUUAAGUUAAAUUAUACAAUUGAUCCC